rnacentral:rRNA from 1 species
CGUGUAGGCGGUUAAGCAAGUCAGGUGUGAAAUCCCUUGGCUCAACCAAGGAAGUGCGCUUGAAACUGUUUGACUAGAGUACAGGAGGGGAAAGUGGAAUUCCCAGUGUAGAGGUGAAAUUCAUAGAUAUUGGGAGGAACACCGGUAGCGAAGGCGGCUUUCUGGCCUGAUACUGACGCUGAGACGCGAAAGCGUGGGGAGCAAACAGGAUUAGAUACCCUGGUAGUCC